rnacentral:rRNA from 1 species
AACGUAGGAGACAAACGUUAUCCGGAGUUACUGGGCGUAAAGGGCGUGUAGGUGGUUUCGUAAGUCUGGCGUGAAAUUUUUCGGCUUAACCGGGAAAGGUCGUCGGAUACUGCGGAACUAGAGGACGGUAGAGGCGUGUGGAAUUCCGGGUGUAGUGGUGAAAUGCGUAGAUAUCGGGAGGAACACCGGUGGCGAAGGCGGCCUUCUGGACGGAUACUGACGCUGAGACGCGAAAGCGUGGGGAGCAAACAGG